UACGGAGGGUGCAAGCGUUGUUCGGAAUCACUGGGCGUAAAGGGCGUGUAGGCGGCCUGCUAAGUCUGAUGUGAAAUCCCCCCGCUCAACGAGGGAACUGCGUCGGAAACUGGCAGGCUCGAGUACCGGAGAGGAAGGUGGAAUUCCCAGUGUAGAGGUGAAAUUCGUAGAUAUUGGGAAGAACACCGGUGGCGAAGGCGGCGCUCUGGACCGAGACUGACGCUGAGGCGCGAAAGCGUGGGGAGCAAACGGG
rnacentral:rRNA from 1 species